GGGUUGUGAGGUUAAGCGACUAAGCGUACACGGUGGAUGCCCUGGCAGUCAGAGGCGAUGAAGGGCGUGCUAAUCUGCGAUAAGCGCCGGUAAGGUGAUAUGAACCGUUAUAACCGGCGAUACCCGAAUGGGGAAACCCAGUGUGAUUCGUCACACUAUCAUUAACUGAAUCCAUAGGUUAAUGAGGCGAACCGGGGGAACUGAAACAUCUAAGUACCCCGAGGAAAAGAAAUCAACCGAGAUUCCCCCAGUAGCGGCGAGCGAACGGGGAGGAGCCCAGAGCCUGAAUCAGCAUGUGUGUUAGUGGAAGCGUCUGGAAAGGCGCGCGAUACAGGGUGACAGCCCCGUACACAAAAGCGCAUGUGCUGUGAGCUCGAUGAGUAGGGCGGGACACGUGGUAUCCUGUCUGAAUAUGGGGGGACCAUCCUCCAAGGCUAAAUACUCCUGACUGACCGAUAGUGAACCAGUACCGUGAGGGAAAGGCGAAAAGAACCCCGGCGAGGGGAGUGAAAAAGAACCUGAAACCGUGUACGUACAAGCAGUGGGAGCACCCUUUUGGGUGUGACUGCGUACCUUUUGUAUAAUGGGUCAGCGACUUAUAUUCUGUAGCAAGGUUAACCGAAUAGGGGAGCCGUAGGGAAACCGAGUCUUAACCGGGCGUUAAGUUGCAGGGUAUAGACCCGAAACCCGGUGAUCUAGCCAUGGGCAGGUUGAAGGUUGGGUAACACUAACUGGAGGACCGAACCGACUAAUGUUGAAAAAUUAGCGGAUGACCUGUGGCUGGGGGUGAAAGGCCAAUCAAACCGGGAGAUAGCUGGUUCUCCCCGAAAGCUAUUUAGGUAGCGCCUCGUGAACUCAUCUCCGGGGGUAGAGCACUGUUUCGGCUAGGGGGCCAUCCCGGCUUACCAACCCGAUGCAAACUGCGAAUACCGGAGAAUGUUAUCACGGGAGACACACGGCGGGUGCUAACGUCCGUCGUGAAGAGGGAAACAACCCAGACCGCCAGCUAAGGUCCCAAAGUCAUGGUUAAGUGGGAAACGAUGUGGGAAGGCCCAGACAGCCAGGAUGUUGGCUUAGAAGCAGCCAUCAUUUAAAGAAAGCGUAAUAGCUCACUGGUCGAGUCGGCCUGCGCGGAAGAUGUAACGGGGCUAAACCAUGCACCGAAGCUGCGGCAGCGAACGUAUCACUUAAAGCGAUUCAGCGGGUUACGAUUGACGGAGCGAAGCGACGUCAAAGCGUAUACAAAGUCGAGUCGGUUUAAGGAUACGUUCGUUGGGUAGGGGAGCGUUCUGUAAGCCUGCGAAGGUGGCCUGUGAGGGUUGCUGGAGGUAUCAGAAGUGCGAAUGCUGACAUAAGUAACGAUAAAGCGGGUGAAAAGCCCGCUCGCCGGAAGACCAAGGGUUCCUGUCCAACGUUAAUCGGGGCAGGGUGAGUCGACCCCUAAGGCGAGGCCGAAAGGCGUAGUCGAUGGGAAACGGGUUAAUAUUCC
rnacentral:rRNA from 1 species